rfam:Megavirus chiliensis, complete genome.
GACCUGUUAGUUUAAUGGUAAAAUGGUCGCCUCCAGAGUGAUUGAUAUCGGUUCGAUUCCGGUACAGGUCC